GACGAACGCUGGCGGCGUGCUUAACACAUGCAAGUCGAACGGUAAGGCUCCAGCUUGCUGGGGUACACGAGUGGCGAACGGGUGAGUAACACGUGGGUGACCUGCCCUGCACUUCGGGAUAAGCCUGGGAAACUGGGUCUAAUACCGGAUAGGACCGCACCGUGAGGGUGUGGUGGAAAGUUUUUUCGGUGUGGGAUGGGCCCGCGGCCUAUCAGCUUGUUGGUGGGGUAAUGGCCUACCAAGGCGGCGACGGGUAGCCGGCCUGAGAGGGUGGACGGCCACAUUGGGACUGAGACACGGCCCAGACUCCUACGGGAGGCAGCAGUGGGGAAUAUUGCACAAUGGGCGGAAGCCUGAUGCAGCGACGCCGCGUGGGGGAUGACGGCCUUCGGGUUGUAAACUCCUUUCACCAUCGACGAAGGGUUUCUGACGGUAGAUGGAGAAGAAGCACCGGCUAACUACGUGCCAGCAGCCGCGGUAAUACGUAGGGUGCGAGCGUUGUCCGGAAUUACUGGGCGUAAAGAGCUCGUAGGUGGUUUGUCGCGUCGUCUGUGAAAUUCCGGGGCUUAACUCCGGGCGUGCAGGCGAUACGGGCAUAACUUGAGUACUGUAGGGGAGACUGGAAUUCCUGGUGUAGCGGUGAAAUGCGCAGAUAUCAGGAGGAACACCGGUGGCGAAGGCGGGUCUCUGGGCAGUAACUGACGCUGAGGAGCGAAAGCAUGGGGAGCGAACAGGAUUAGAUACCCUGGUAGUCCAUGCCGUAAACGGUGGGCGCUAGGUGUGGGUUUCCUUCCACGGGAUCCGUGCCGUAGCUAACGCAUUAAGCGCCCCGCCUGGGGAGUACGGCCGCAAGGCUAAAACUCAAAGGAAUUGACGGGGGCCCGCACAAGCGGCGGAGCAUGUGGAUUAAUUCGAUGCAACGCGAAGAACCUUACCUGGGCUUGACAUAUACAGGAUCGCGCCAGAGAUGGUGUUUCCCUCGUGGCUUGUAUACAGGUGGUGCAUGGUUGUCGUCAGCUCGUGUCGUGAGAUGUUGGGUUAAGUCCCGCAACGAGCGCAACCCUUGUCUUAUGUUGCCAGCACGUUGUGGUGGGGACUCGUAAGAAACUGCCGGGGUUAACUCGGAGGAAGGUGGGGAUGACGUCAAAUCAUCAUGCCCCUUAUGUCCAGGGCUUCACACAUGCUACAAUGGUCGGUACAGUGGGUUGCCAGUCCGUGAGGGCGAGCUAAUCCCGCAAAGCCGGUCUCAGUUCGGAUCGGGGUCUGCAACUCGACCCCGUGAAGUCGGAGUCGCUAGUAAUCGCAGAUCAGCAACGCUGCGGUGAAUACGUUCCCGGGCCU
rnacentral:rRNA from 1 species